rnacentral:rRNA from 1 species
UACGGAGGAUCCUAGUGUUAUCCGGAUUUAUUGGGUUUAAAGGGAGUGUAGGCGGGAGGUCAAGUCAGCUGUGAAAUGUAUCUGCUUAACGGGUACACUGCAGUUGAAACUGGUUUUCUUGAGUGCGUAAGAGGCAGGCGGAAUUCGUUGUGUAGCGGUGAAAUGCUUAGAUAUGACGAGGAACUCCUAUUGCGAAGGCAGCUUGCUGGGUCGUUAAUGACGCUGAUGCUCGAAGGUGCGGGGAUCAAACAGGAUUAGAUA